rnacentral:rRNA from 1 species
ACACGCAUGACACACUGCAUAUCAAUAAGCGGAGGAAAAGAAACUAACUAGGAUUCCCUUAGUAACGGCGAGUGAAGCGGGAAGAGCUCAAAUUUGAAAUCUUCAAGGUUCUACCUUGACGAAUUGUAGUUUAUAGAAGUGUUUUCUGUUAGUAGAGUGGCAAAAGUUCUUUGGAAUAGGACAUCAUAGAGGGUGAGAAUCCCGUAUUUGGUCAUUCUUUCUAGCUUUGUGAUACACUUUCAAAGAGUCGGAUUGUUAGGGAAUGCAGUCCAAGAUGGGUGGUAAAUUUCAUCUAAAGCUAAAUAUUGGCGAGAGACCGAUAGCGAACAAGUACCGUGAGGGAAAGAUGAAAAGAACUUUGAAAAGAGAGUUAAACAGUACGUGAAAUUGUCAAAAGGGAAGCGUUUGACACCAGUGUUGUUUAGUUGAAAAUCAAUUCAAUAAUUUUUGAUUUUGAGUAGUAUUGACUUCAUCAGCUUGCUGCUUUCUUUUCAGGAAUUAUUGAAUGCACUUUUCAGUUAACAAGUCAACAUCAAUUUCUUUUGUUGUAAAAGGGUAAGAGGAAGGUGGCUUACGCUUCGGCGUAAGUGUUUAUAGCCUUUUACCUCUGCAAUCGGAGAGAUUGAGGACAGCAGCGUAGACUCCUUCGGGGGUUAGAUACACUUGUGCUAAGCUAUAGCCUUGUAUAGACAACUUGUUGACUAUGCUCAGUCAUGUAGCUUACUCGCUUGUGCUAUUUUACCUACGCUUAGGAUGUUGAGCGCAUGUCUCUCUCU